AAGCCAACUUAAAGUUCGUUCACGAACUUUACCUUUUCUAGUUAUUAAGUUGGCUUGGAAAAGCCAACUUCUUGUUCUUCGUAAUCUUCUUAUUAAGUUGGCUUUGGAAAAGCCAACUUAUUGUUCUUCGUUUUCUUCUUCUUAUUAUUAUUAUUCUUACGCCUUUUUUUCUGUACGCUACUCCUCCUAGAGCUUUUAUCGUAGAAUCACGAAACUUUCACGGAUUGUAGGACCUAUAGUGAAUUACGUUGCUUGUGCUUUUUGGAGCGAUUUAUCGUACGGUUUUCGUAAAAACUUCGUAAACGUACGCAUUUUUUCCCCAUAGGAAUGAAUGGGGGAGAAUUUUGAACGUCCGUGACGGUCACAAUUUUUGAGAUACGGAGACCAAAUUCGGCGAGCUAAUAGAUCUUAUCAAGAUCUUUAAAUUAAUAAUAGGUUGCGAAGUGAUACGACGUACGGUUUUCGUACAAUUGUCGUACGAAGUUUUCCCAUAGAAAUGAAUGGGGGGCCCAGAGUUCCAUCUCACACACGAGCAGCUCUGCGCACGGAACCCCUUCUCUCCCCUGCUCCUCCAGUACUGUGAGUGUAUGGAGGAGCUGCUGUAUGGAGCAGCUAUCAGUCAAAAGUUUGGACACCCUGGCACCCCAGCCAGGGUUUAGCAACCAUCUAUUAACUGUUUAGCAACCACCUGGAAAACGUUAGCAACUGCCUAGCAACCACUUAGCAACACCUUAGCAACCACCUGGAAAACGUUAGCAACUGCCAAGCAACCACUUAGCAACCACUUUAGAAAUGAUAGCAACUACCUAGCAACCACUUAGCAACCACUUUAGAAAUGAUAGCAACUGCCUAGCAACCACUUAGCAACCACAUGGAAAACGUUAGCAACUGCCUAGCAACCACGUAGCAACCACUUUAGAAACUAUAGCAAUUGCCUAGCAACCACUUAGCAACACCUUAACAACCACUAGGAAAACGUUAGCAACUGCCUAGCAACCACUUAGCAACCACUUUAGAAAUGAUAGCAACUGCCUAGCAACCACUUAGCAACCACAUGGAAAACGUUAGCAACUGCCUAGCAACCACUUAGCAACCACUUUAGAAAUGAUAGCAACUGCCUAGCAACCACUUAGCAACCACAUGGAAAACGUUAGCAACUGCCUAGCAACCACUUAGCAACCACUUUAGAAACGAUAACAACUGCCUAGCAACCACUUAGCAACACCUUAGCAACCACCUGGAAAA